rnacentral:rRNA from 1 species
CCUACGGGAGGCAGCAGCCGCGGUAAUACGUAGGGUGCGAGCGUUAAUCGGAAUUACUGGGCGUAAAGCGUGCGCAGGCGGUUAUACAAGACAGGCGUGAAAUCCCCGGGCUUAACCUGGGAAUGGCGUCUGUGACUGUAUAGCUAGAGUGUGUCAGAGGGGGGUGGAAUUCCACGUGUAGCAGUGAAAUGCGUAGAUAUGUGGAGGAACACCAAUGGCGAAGGCAGCCCCCUGGGAUAACACUGACGCUCAUGCACGAAAGCGUGGGGAGCAAACAGGAUUAGAUACCCUGGUAGUCCACGCCCUAAACGAUGCUGACUAGUUGUUGGGAAUUUACAUUCUCAGUAACGUAGCUAACGCGUGAAGUCAGCCGCCUGGGGAGUACGGUCGCAAGAUUAAAACUCAAAUGAAUUGACGG